rnacentral:rRNA from 1 species
GGAUUGCCCUAGUAACGGCGAGUGAAGCGGCAACAGCUCAAAUUUGAAAUCUGGCUCCCUCUGGGGGUCCGAGUUGUAAUUUGCAGAGGGUGCUUUGGUGUUGGUGGCGGUCUAAGUUCCUUGGAACAGGACAUCGCAGAGGGUGAGAAUCCCGUUUGUGGUCGCCUACCUUCGCCGUGUAAAGCCCCUUCGACGAGUCGAGUUGUUUGGGAAUGCAGCUCUAAAUGGGAGGUAAAUUUCUUCUAAAGCUAAAUACUGGCCAGAGACCGAUAGCGCACAAGUAGAGUGAUCGAAAGAUGAAAAGCACUUUGGAAAGAGAGUCAAACAGCACGUGAAAUUGUUGAAAGGGAAGCGCUUGCAGCCAGACUUGCCCGUAGUUGCUCACCCAGGCUUUUGCCCGGGGCAUUCUUCUGCGGGCAGGCCAGCAUCAGUUUGGGCGGUCGGAUAAAGGCCUCUGUCACGUAUCUCCCUUCGGGGAGAACUUAUAGGGGGGGCGUAAUGCGACCAGCCCGGACUGAGGUCCGCGCAUCUGCUAGGAUGCUGGCGUAAUGGCUGUAAGCGGCCCGUCUUGAAACACGGACCAAGGAGUCUAACAUCUAUGCGAGUGUUUGGGUGUCAAGCCCGAGCGCGUAAUGAAAGUGAACGGAGGUGGGAACCCUUUGGGUGCACCAUCGACCGAUCCUGAUGUCUUCGGAUGGAUUUGAGUAAGAGCAUAGCUGUUGGGACCCGAAAGAUGGUGAACUAUGCUUGAAUAGGGUGAAGCCAGAGGAAACUCUGGUGGAGGCUCGCAGCGGUUCUGACGUGCAAAUCGAUCGUCAAAUUUGGGCAUAGGGGCGAAAGACUA